rnacentral:misc_RNA from 1 species
UGGAGAUGUACAUUUUGGCAGCCAAGGAACUUCAUUAUGUAUAGCUUGUUUUUGCAUAUAAAUGUUAGUUUGAGAUAUUGAUGUAAGUGUUUAUAUGUAUAGGAGUGAUUUAGCCAAUGUAUAUUAAGUGUAUGUGUAAUGGUGCAAUUGGUUUUGAAAGCUUGAAAGCAAUUUGAAGGAGAUAUGUUCAAUGGGGUAAUUUGGCAACUUUAAAGUGUAGUUAGAAAUGUGUAGUUUCAUGUAAUGG